rnacentral:lncRNA from 1 species
UUGCCGCAAGGCACCAUCUUGUACCACUUGUCGUGGAGCAGGUCGAUGAAGCCGGAGGACUUGUAGCGGCUGAUGAACUCGGACAGGUUGGAGGAGGUCCCCAGAGACCCCGGCGCCCCGCCUCGCCCAGGUGCCUCUCACCCUCAAUGGCGAAGGGCUUUCCCACGGUCAGCAGUUUGCAGUCGGCGUCGAUGGAGACCUCGUAGUCCAGGAGCGACUUGUCCAUGAUGAAGGCGUUGAGCUUGGGGGGGUCGCUCCUGCUGGGGCCGGGGGCGGGGGUCAGCCAUCGCCCCGCCCACCCCACGCCCCGCCCCCGCCUCACCCCGCGCCCGGGCUCACGUGAGCAUGGCGACGCCGCGGGGCGUGGUGGGCGCGCUGUGGCGCCGCAUGUGUGCGUGCAUGUCGGGGAAGCUCUUCUUGAUGUACGCCUCGGCGCUGCUCUCCCACACGGUGCCGAAGCGGAAGCCCUGCGCCGGGUGGUGCAGCUGCGCGGGGGACCCCGUCAGCGCCUCUGCCUGCCCCUCAGGACCCCUGACCAUUGAGGGGCGCGCCGUUCUCCGGGGUGGGGCCGUCCUGGGCACUGCAGGGCGCCGAGGCUGCAUUCCUGGCCUCCACCCACUCCAUGCCCAGAGCACACCCCAGGCGUGACCACCACAGCUGUCUCUAGACACACACUGUCCAGGGUCCCCUGGGGCGGGGGGCAGGAUCACCCCGGGUGGAGACCCUCUGUUCUAAACGCCGGCAAGUCCAUCUCCACCUGGACCUCGCCCUGGGCUGGACGCCUAUCCCACCACCUCCUCUGCCUCUCCCCUGGGGGUCCCACGGGAGCCCCACUCUAACAUGUCCAUGACCCCACUCCUGAUCUGCCCC